rnacentral:rRNA from 1 species
UACAUAGGUCGCGAGCGUUAUUCGGAUUUAUUGGGCGUAAAGAGAGCGCAGGCGGAUGGAUAAGUUCUGUGUGAAAGGUGGCCGCUCAACGGUUACUUGCGCCGAAUACUGUCUGUCUAGAAUACGGUAGGGAGGUUCGGAAUUGAAUGUGGAGCGGUGGAAUGUGUAGAUAUAUUCAAGAACACCAGAGGCGAAGGCGGAACCUUAGGCCGAUAUUGACGCUUAGGCUCGAAAGUGUGGGGAGCAAAUG